rnacentral:rRNA from 1 species
GACGAACGCUGGCGGCGUGCCUAAUACAUGCAAGUAGAACGCUGAAGAGAGGAGCUUCCUCUUCUUGGAUGAGUUGCGAACGGGUGAGUAACGCGUAGGUAACCUGCCUUGUAGCGGGGGAUAACUAUUGGAAACGAUAGCUAAUACCGCAUAACAAUGGAUGACACAUGUCAUUUAUUUGAAAGGGGCAAUUGCUCCACUACAAGAUGGACCUGCGUUGUAUUAGCUAGUAGGUGAGGUAAUGGCUCACCUAGGCGACGAUACAUAGCCGACCUGAGAGGGUGAUCGGCCACACUGGGACUGAGACACGGCCCAGACUCCUACGGGAGGCAGCAGUAGGGAAUCUUCGGCAAUGGGGGCAACCCUGACCGAGCAACGCCGCGUGAGUGAAGAAGGGUGUCGGAUCGUAAAGCUCGGUUGUAAGUCAAGAACGGGUGUGAGAGUGGAAAGUUCACACUGUGACGGUAGCUUACCAGAAAGGGACGGCUAACUACGUG